rnacentral:rRNA from 1 species
CCUACGGGAGGCAGCAGUGGGGGAUCUUGCACAAUGGGCGAAAGCCUGACGGAGCGACGCCGCGUGAGUGAAGAAGUUCUUCGGAUCGUAAAGCUCUAUUAGCAGGGAAGAACAUGCGAGUACGUGACUAUGCACCUCUGGACAAUCACGUGUCAGAAGCCGCGGGAUUACUAAGGGGGAACGAGUUAUCCGGAUUUACUGGGUGAAAAGGGAGCGUAGACGGUUUUGUAAGUCUGGCGUGAAAGCACUGGGCCCAAUCUCGGGGGGUCGUUGGAAACUGUGUAACUGGAGUGCAGAAGAGGAAGGCGGAAUUCCUGGUGUAGCGGUGAAAUGCGUAGAUAUAAGGAGGAACACCAGCGGCGAAGGCGGCCUGCUGGUCUGAAACUGACGUUGAGGCGCGAAAGCGUGGGGAGCAAACAGGAUUAGAUACCCGAGUAGUC